UACGGUAGGGGCAAGCGUUGUCCGGAAUUUAUUGGCGUAAAGGCGCUCGCAGGCGGCUCGAUGCGUCGUGCGUGAACACCCGGCUCAACUGGGGAGGUCGUGCGAUACGGUCGGCUGAGGCCAGUAGGGGAGUGCGGGAAUUCCGGGAUCGUAGUGGUGGAAUGCGCAGAUAUCAGGAGGAACACCAAUAGCGAAGGCAGCGUCGCUGGGACGGUACUGACGCUGAGGCGCGAAAGCGUGGGAGCGAACAGG
rnacentral:rRNA from 1 species